AUUGAACGCUGGCGGUAGGCCUAACACAUGCAAGUCGAACGAGUGGCGGACGGGUGAGUAAUGUCUGGGAAACUGCCCGAUGGAGGGGGAUAACUACUGGAAACGGUAGCUAAUACCGCAUACCAUCGGAUGUGCCCAGAUGGGAUUGGCUAGUAGGGGGGGUAACGGCUCACCUGGGCGACGAUCCCUAGCUGGUCUGAGAGGAGGACCAGCCAAACUGGAACUGAGAAACGGUCAAGACGCCUAGGGGAGGCAGAAGGGGGAAAUAUUGCACAAUGGGCGCAAGCCUGAUGCAGCCAGGCCGCGUGUAUGAAGAAGGCCUUCGGGUUGUAAAGUACUUUCAGAGAGGAGGCGUUACUCGCAGAAGAAGCACCGGCUAACUCCGUGCCAGCCGCCGCGGUAAUUC
rnacentral:rRNA from 1 species